rnacentral:rRNA from 1 species
GGCUCAGGACGAACGCUGGCGGCGUGCUUAACACAUGCAAGUCGAACGAUGAUCCGGUGCUUGCACCGGGGAUUAGUGGCGAACGGGUGAGUAACACGUGAGUAACCUGCCCUUGACUCUGGGAUAAGCCUGGGAAACCGGGUCUAAUACCGGAUACGACCCGUCACCGCAUGGUGGUGGGUGGAAAGAUUUUUUGGUUUUGGAUGGACUCGCGGCCUAUCAGCUUGUUGGUGAGGUAAUGGCUCACCAAGGCGACGACGGGUAGCCGGCCUGAGAGGGUGACCGGCCACACUGGGACUGAGACACGGCCCAGACUCCUACGGGAGGCAGCAGUGGGGAAUAUUGCACAAUGGGCGAAAGCCUGAUGCAGCGACGCCGCGUGAGGGAUGACGGCCUUCGGGUUGUAAACCUCUUUCAGCAGGGAAGAAGCGAAA